UCGGGAAUCUUGCACAAUGGGCGAAAGCCUGAUGCAGCAACGCCGUGUGAGCGAGGAAGGCCUUCGGGUCGUAAAGCUCUGUUGUUGGGGACGAAGGGCGAAGGGUUAAUAGCCCCUAGCCUGACGGUACCCUUCGAGGAAGCCCCGGCUAACUACGUGCCAGCAGCCGCGGUAAUACGUAGGGGGCGUGCGUUGUCCGGAAUUAUUGGGCGUAAAGAGCGUGUAGGCGGCCCGGUAAGUCUGCCGUGAAAACCUGGGGCUCAACCCCGGGCGUGCGGUGGAUACUGCUGGGCUAGAGGAUGGUAGAGGCGAGUGGAAUUCCCGGUGUAGCGGUGAAAUGCGCAGAGAUCGGGAGGAACACCAGUAGCGAAGGCGGCUCGCUGUGCCAUUCCUGACGCUGAGGCGUGAAAGCUAGAGGAGCGAAAGGGAUUAGAUACCCGCGUAGUCC
rnacentral:rRNA from 1 species